rnacentral:rRNA from 1 species
AUGGCAAUGUCACCACUUGCUGUGUAUGCCGCCAUCCUGCUGCUCGCGUUGGCGGCGGGCGGCGCCGAGGCCCAGGACGUGGGCUCAACCAUCACGCAGGCCAUGUUCGAGAGCAUGCUGCCCAACCGCGACCCCUUCUAUACGUACGACGCCUUCAUCACCGCCGCCAAAACCUUCCCGGAUUUCGGCACCACCGGCCAACUUAUGAAGCGCGAGCUCGCAGCCUUCUUCGGCCAGACCUCGCACGAGACCACCGGCGGAGGCUCAGAAGGGGGAUACAAGUUCAUAGAGGAGAUAAACAAGAACGAUCCACUCUACUACGGACGGGGACCGAUUCAGUUGACAGGGCAGUCCAACUACAGGGCCGCCGGGGCCGCGCUGAACCAGCCCCUGGAGAGCAACCCGGAGAUAGUGGCCAAUAACCCGGUGGUCUCCUUCCAGACGGCCCUCUGGUACUGGAUGACGGAGCAGUCGCCCAAGCCGUCCUGCCACAACGUCAUCCUGGGCAACUGGAAGCCCACGGACGCCGACAACGCCGCCGGCCGGCUGCCCGGCUACGGCGUCAUCACAAACAUCAUCAACGGCGGGGUCGAGUGCGGCAUGGGCCAGAUGCCAAACGACCCCAACGCGGACCGCAUCGCCUACUACAAGCGCUACUGCGACAUGCUCAACACCACCUACGGCGACAACCUUGACUGCUACUCCCAGAAGAAUUUCGCUGCCUAG